CCCCUCUCAGGGUCGCACCUGGAGAGUUUCCGGUUCUCUACCAGUCUCGGCUGCGGGAGGGAGAGUCAAGCAGAGACGUGCCCGUUCCAUUCCUAGCUUGGUCAGUGGCUAGAGAGUGGAAGACGAUCUGCUACAGGU
rnacentral:snoRNA from 1 species